CUGGAACGCGCCCUAGGCGCACCCAGAAACCCUUUGUGAACUUAUACCUUACUGUUGCCUCGGCGCAUGCUGGCCCCCUCGGGGUCCCCUGGAGACAGGGAGCAGGCACGCCGGCGGCCAAGUUAACUCUUGUUUUUACACUGAAACUCUGAGAAAAAAACACAAAUGAAUCAAAACUUUCAACAACGGAUCUCUUGGUUCUGGCAUCGAUGAAGAACGCAGCGAAAUGCGAUAAGUAAUGUGAAUUGCAGAAUUCAGUGAAUCAUCGAAUCUUUGAACGCACAUUGCGCCCUCUGGUAUUCCGGAGGGCAUGCCUGUUCGAGCGUCAUUUCAACCCUCAAGCAUUGCUUGGUGUUGGGGCACUGCCUGUAAAAGGGCAGGCCCUGAAAUCUAGUGGCGAGCUCGCUAGGACCCCGAGCGUAGUAGUUAAACCCUCGCUUUGGAAGGCCCUGGCGGUGCCCUGCCGUUAAACCCCCAACUUUUGAAAAU
rnacentral:rRNA from 2 species